CAGCGUGCUCUCAUAAGGACCGGGGCUUGUUUGUAGCUCUUAUGUUCUCAAAGUGCAUGCAAGAGAAUUGGGUGGUCUUUGACUGCUGUGGCCUCCUCUGCCACCAGCAGCCACUCUACUGUCCUACAGAU
ensembl:snoRNA